AGAAUCUGAUUUCUCUAUUAGAUGUGUUGAAGUCAAAGAUAAUACUGGAUUUUUGUUCGACUUUAUACUUUUCUGCUGAAGCUCCAUAACGGUCAACACGUAUAAUACCUCUCUGGGAACCUAUUUGUGCAUUCAUGAAGGAUGAAACCCGAAGUUGACGAACAGAGAAAAAGUCAUAUCUUGGGAUAUGGACCGAUACAUCAGUUGAUCUUUGAAUAAGAGAAACUCAGCAACCGCUGCAAGAAUUGAAAUGCCGAAAAUCAUUUGAAAAUUCUCGUCGAUUAUAUGUUGGGCCAUGCGUUUGAUCAUCUAUGGAGAUUGGAGGUCACUCUGAUUUAGUUAUUGAAAAGGAAAUGUAAAACCAAGGAGACUGAAGAAAUCCAAAGAUAGAGCCAAAAAAGACAGUCAGAGGACCAAUUUGAUUAACCUUAACAAGAAGAAGGCCGAGCUGGAUGAACAGAUAUUGCUCCGCAGCUCGUUUCCUAGACCCUACUUCAUAAAAGUAUCCCCAUCCUCAACAGAUCCUCAACAUACAGCAGAACCUCAACCUCCAGCAGAGAAAGACAAUUUUAAGUAUUCCCGACGAAAAUGGUCAAUUCUCAGAUUCAAAAAUUCUCAACAAUAGUCAUGAUCACCCAGAUGUUCUGCCUAGGGUGAAUGUUAAGACCACUAAGUAUUCCGAAAUGUGUUCUAUGAAUAAGCUAGAUGGUAUAUUUAAAUUGUCUUGGUAAGAACGUGCCAGUAACUGAGCCGCAUAUUUUAAAGGGAUUAGAUUUAUCUAUGUUUUGUCUUAAAGAACCAUUUACUUCUGAGCUGCCCUGUCAAAAUUAAAAGGGCGUAUAGGUUGUUUCGGCAAAAGUUCCCUUAAAUUAUUGAUGGACGAUGUUAAAGAUCGUAAUUUGGUUAUGAAUACUUCCGAAGAAUUGAGUGAUUAUGAAAUAAAGGAUAUUGCCCGCUGUAGACAAUGUUGGAGGAUCCUUUAAAUGUAGUUUUUUUUGCACAUUUUACGGUUUGAAGAUGUUUUAACCAUGGUAAAUUAGGUACACGUACUCAAGUUCGACACGCACUGUAGUUCGUCACUUAUACUGUAGUUCGACAAACCCUAAGAUUCGACUCUGUCGAACUCGAACCAAAGUGCUCUAUCUGGACUCAAGUUCGACACUCACUUAAGUUCGACAAGAGAACUUAGACUGUCGGACUAAGGUUUUGAAAUCUCCAAUAUCAAGCAACGAUCCGUUAUGAGCUUGAAAUCUAUUCGUUUGUUUGUUCUCCGCUUGUCUCAUGCUGUUCAAUUAUGUUUGAAUGUAAUUUCUAUAAUCCACAUCUGUGGACAUUAAUUAAUUGACCUCAUACUCAAUUGUUAGUUAGCGGAGUUGUAGGCUUAACGGAGAGAUAAAAGAGUAACGUGGUAACUCUUACUUCGUUUUAUAGAUCUAGACUCUAGAGUAUGCUAUGUAAAUACAAGGGUCGACCUCGGCCUCGGUUUUACCGAGGAAUAGCGAUUUUUCCUCGGCCUUGGUCAGGAGGACAAUUCCUCGGUUUGCCUCUGUUUUUUAUCAAAGACCCUCGUAUAAAUAUCUAACACAUACCACACUUUAUGUAUUGUCACAAAUGACUAGUAGUAGUAAGCGAGUACCGGAGACCAGUCCAGAGAUUUGGCUGCUGAACCGGAAACCGUCUGAUAUCAAUCUUUUUUCUUUGAAGCACUGAUCUAUGUUAAUUUAUAUUGCAGAUGAAUUUUAGUUGUGUUAUACAUUAAUAUAAGGAUACCAAUAAUACAAUUUUGAGUUAUAUGAGGUGAGUUUUGUAAAUCGUAAAUAUCGUGACUAAAAUUCUGGCUUUACUGAUUGAAUUUGGAAUAUUUUUUCUGAUUAAAAUGCCGGAUUAACUUAUUUAAUUU